AGAGUUUGAUCAUGGCUCAGAGUGAACGCUGGCGGCAGGCCUAAUACAUGCAAGUCGAACGGCAGCACGGCAGAGCUUGCUCUGUGGGUGGCGAGUGGCGGACGGGUGAGGAAUACAUGGGAAUCUGCCCAGUCGUGGGGAUAACGUAGGGAAACUUACGCUAAUACCGCAUGCGCCCUUCGGGGGAAAGCCGGGGACCUUCGGGCCUGGCGCGAUUGGAUGAGCCCAUGUCGGAUUAGCUAGUUGGCGGGGUAAUGGCCCACCAAGGCGACGAUCCGUAGCUGGUCUGAGAGGAUGAUCAGCCACACUGGAACUGAGACACGGUCCAGACUCCUACGGGAGGCAGCAGUAGGGAAUAUUGGACAAUGGGCGCAAGCCUGAUCCAGCCAUGCCGCGUGAGUGAAGAAGGCCCUCGGGUUGUAAAGCUCUUUUGUCCGGAAAGAAAAGCGCCGGGUUAAUACCCUGGUGUCCUGACGGUACCGGAAGAAUAAGCACCGGCUAACUUCGUG
rnacentral:rRNA from 1 species